rnacentral:lncRNA from 1 species
UGUCAUUGAACAUCCUUGGCAGUCGUUACGGGUAGUCAGAAGCCAGUAAGUCUGACGCCAGUCUAACCAAGGGGUAUCGGGUUGCCCGGGUAACUGGGUUGAGGAGGUCAGAUAGGGCAGUCGCUUCCUGUAAAGCACUGGUACUCAGCUGCAUCCGGUUAGACUGGAAGCCGACCCCAACAUAGUUGGGAAAAGGCUUCGGAGGAUGAUGACGAUUAGUUGUCCUGUGUUUCACCCACGUCCCGGAACUACUGCCCGUACCGGAAUAAAAUAUAGCCUAUGUUACUCGGGAAGAGUGUAGCUUUCUAACAGUGAAAGAAUUUUUGACAUAGGUUCAAUAGUUUCGGAGCAUUUAGGGUACAAACAUAGGCUAUUUUUCAUCCCGGUAAGGGCAACAGUUUUCACAGGACAAGGGUGAAAAACCUGGAAAACGACUAACCGUGAAAAUAAACACAAGCUUUCAUGACUUUUGUAUAUAUUUUUUAAUUUUAUAUUUUUACUUUGACUGUAAGUAAAUUGUGAUAUGGCAAUGAAAUUGCAUGAUGAGAAAGUAAUUUUAUUUCAAUAAUUAUCUCUUAUAUCUAUUCAAACUAGCCAGAAUAAUUUUACACUAGAUUUUGCCCGCGUCUUUGUUCGCGUGGAAUUGUGACUUUCAGCAGUUUUUUGGUUUUAAAUUUUAUUAUUUGUAAUAAAAACUAUCCUAUGUCCUUUCUCAAGUUCUAAACUAUGUAUGUACCAAAUUUUACACAAAUCGGUUCAGUAGUUUAGGCGUGAGGAAAAGACCUAGAUCCUAUUAGGAUAGUUUUUAUUACAAAAAAUAAAAUUUAUCCCGGACAUACAGCGCCAUCUAUUGGUCAAUCCGAAAUCUGCCGAAAUCUGCUGGAAGUCACUAUUUCACGCGAACGAAGUCGCGGGCGAAAUCUAGUACAGUAUAAAUUGGGUUGCUCACCGAUCCGGUAUCCACUUGAAAGGCUAUCAAAAUAUGUAUAUGGUACAUUUUUAAAUACUCAUUUAGAGAAUACAUAGGUUUAAAAAAAUAUUGUUGCAUUAUUUUUUUGUUUUUUAGUUUAGGUAAAUAAGCACAAUAUUUGUUAUUUCAAUGCAACUUUUAACCGAAUUAGUCCUAAAAAGUUCCUUUUUAGACCUAGUCUUAAAUAUAUAUAGCAUUUAUGUAAUAUAAUUUAAGCUUUGCUAUAUCUUAUACUGCUAAGGGCUCCCACACAAAACCGCGAUGCGAUGCAUUUAUGAUCCAUAUGAAUUUUUGCAGGACCGACAUUACGUUGGUGUCGUCUGUCCACCAACAAGGUGACCUUUAUAAUUAUACCAAUUCAGGCUGAAAUCGCUUUGUGGAUUUUAAGAAACUUUCACAAAGCAGCCUGUAGUUUGGAAGUUGGUAAUUGAUACACCCGUGCAUCAGAGAGCACGUUAAUGUCGGUCCUGCGCCUGAUCUCUCUCCGGUCGUAACUGAUAUAUGCAGCUGGCUAAUCUUAUGAAGAACAGUCGCCGUAACCGACAAUUGGUCUGAACGCCAUUAUGUAAUACAUAUCUAUAGGUACUUAUAAAAAAUCUGUAGAGAGGUCAAUUCUGUAAAUUAAAUAUAUUUCCAAAAUAUCUAUCAGGGGGUGCGCGUGAAUACUGAAUCAUGCUAUAUAGGCUACUACACACAGUGCCAAACUGCCAUGCCGCCGUGCACCCGGCGGCAUACAAAGCCGCCGGCUUUGCGGAACAAAAGAGCCGCCGGGGUGUGUCGGCGGGUUACGCGGCUUGUCGGCGUCUGUUCGUGCUAUGUGACUGUCACAACCAGAAUGAUGCUUGGCGGUUUUGUGCGGCUUGGAUUGCCGGCGGCAUAGCCGCUCGGCAUGAACCCGGCGGCAACCCCGCCGGCAUGUGUGUAGUAGCCUUAAGGACUAUUUUUGCGGCUCGCGGCGCGUUGGCUACGCUAUAUUUGGCUGUUGAUGCAAAUAGAUAGAUGUUCAGAUUGUUCGACCUUAUUGAUUGGCAAUGAUUGAUAUUAACAAACCGUGCUUAUCAGCGCCACUUUUUCACACGUCUUUAAAUAAUAUUUCUUUUAAAAAAUACGUCAGUAUUAGUUAUUUUGGUAGCGUUUAAAUUAAAAAAAAAUGUUAACAUUUUUUUUUUAGGUUAAGCUGUAAUAGGCUAGGUACGCAUAGAUUUAGAUAAUUAGAUAGGCUGGUGAUUAUUAUUUCUUCCUCUCUUUGCACAAAGUCCAAAUACAUAUAUUACACAUAUCCAUAUAUUUUUAAAUAUUAAAUAUAAAUGGACCCCUAUCGAUCACAGAGUUCAAGGUCUGUGGUUAGGGCCUCAGAGACAGAAAUCUCCUCACGAUUCGCUCAGUUUCAAGGAGUACCGCCUUCUGAAUCAGUCCCUUCAUUAAGUAGGCCUAACGAGAGCCUCGUGAGGUUUUAUUAAUAAUUUCAUUUCUAUAAAUCGUUAUAUCCCUAAUUUUCUAACGAUUGAAGAACGCACCCACAGUGGGAGACAUUUGACGAUGUACCAAGUGCUGGGAGAUGAUACUUUUCCUCACCUCCGGUCGGCAAAUGAUGACGAGGGACAGGUCUGCCGCCUCUGGCUUGCCUUCCUAUUCGAAAGGUCGAAAAAUAUUAAUUAUUUGGUCAAUAUUAGAUUUUAUAAUAUUAAAGUUGGCAACCUAUUUAUACUGGUUUGAAUACCACAUGGAAUUGCCACUUAGAGGUAUAACAAAUAAAUACUGUGGUUUUACCUUCGUGCGUGCAUAUCAGAAAGUGCAUAUUAUUUUCAUAAAUAUCUCAAUAUUCAAUAAGCUUCUAUAUAAUAUAACACUGAUAAUAUCAUAUUUUAAAGAAUAAUUAGAUCCUACUUAUUUCAUACAUAAUAUACUACGAUUAUUUUCACUGAAAGCACUGGUACUCAGCUGAAUCCGGUUAGACUGGAAGCCGAACCCAACAUAGCUGGGAAAAGGCUCGGGAGAUGAUGAUACUAUGAUAAUUUCAAUUUUUUUACUUUGCCAUCAAACUGAAAGUACUCAAACAAAACGGCUUGUUUUUAACCGACUUCAAAAAAUAUCAAUUUCGACCUGUAUGUAAGUCUAACCAAGGGGUAUCGGGUUGACCGGGUAACUGGGUUGAGGGGGUCAGAUAGGGCAGUCGCUCCUUGUAAAGCACUAGUACUCGGCUACAACCGGUUAGACUGGAAGCCGACCCCAACAUACUUUGGGAAAAAGGCUCGGAGGAUGAUGAUGUAUGUGUAUAAAAAUAUUGUCAGCAUUUUUUUGAAAUAAGUUUUCUUUUUCAAUUAAUUUUGUUAAUUUUAAUUGUUCAUAGGUAAGAUGUUAAUCACUGACACCAGAUGUUAAGCGAAAGUGGUCUGUUCUCUUUUUUUUUAUUUUCUUUUUUUGUUAAAAAUUAUAUUUCAAUUUUUUGUUGAAAACAGAAAAAAAAUUGUAAUAAAUAAGUGUAAGUUAAGCUUAUCUAAAUAUCAUGACCUUUGCAUAUUUCUGAGUUUUUAUGCAAUUGAUUUCAUAGAUAAAAGCAUUUUUUUUCCUAACCUAAUUGUAAGUUUUUGUACUUCAUCA